rnacentral:tRNA from 1 species
CGGGGCGUAGCGCAGUUGGUAGCGUGCUUGUAUGGGGUACAAGAGGUCGAGAGUUCAAAUCUCUCCGCCCCGA